rnacentral:piRNA from 1 species
UCAUAUUGUGUGAACUCUAGCUUUCAGGC